rnacentral:rRNA from 1 species
CAUUCACGGAGAGUUUGAUCCUGGCUCAGGACGAACGCUGGCGGCGUGCUUAACACAUGCAAGUCGAACGAUGAACCACCUUCGGGUGGGGAUUAGUGGCGAACGGGUGAGUAACACGUGGGCAAUCUGCCCUGCACUCUGGGACAAGCCCUGGAAACGGGGUCUAAUACCGGAUACUGAACCACUUGGGCAUCCAGGCGGUUCGAAAGCUCCGGCGGUGCAGGAUGAGCCCGCGGCCUAUCAGCUUGUUGGUGAGGUAACGGCUCACCAAGGCGACGACGGGUAGCCGGCCUGAGAGGGCGACCGGCCACACUGGGACUGAGACACGGCCCAGACUCCUACGGGAGGCAGCAGUGGGGAAUAUUGCACAAUGGGCGAAAGCCUGAUGCAGCGACGCCGCGUGAGGGAUGACGGCC